CUGAAGCCCAGAGGGUGUUAGAGGGCAAUCGAUGGGCAUCUGUGUGUGUGAGGGCAAUGGAGAGAAGAUUGUUUCCAUGUCCUGUUGGGCUGGAGAGGGAACAAGGCCCACAGACUUGAGCUGCUUGAAAGUGCAGAGGAAAUUGGAGACAGAGUGUGCUAUGGGGUGUGUGUGUGUGUGUGUGUGUGUGUGUGUGUGUGU